GACGAACGCUGGCGGCGUGCCUAAUACAUGCAAGUCGAGCGGACGAAUCGAAAGCUUGCUUUUGAUUCGUUAGCGGCGGACGGGUGAGUAACACGUGGGCAACCUGCCCUGUAGACGGGGAUAACACCGAGAAAUCGGUGCUAAUACCGGAUAACACGAAAUGUCGCAUGACGUUUCGUUGAAAGACGGCGCAAGCUGUCGCUACAGGAUGGGCCCGCGGCGCAUUAGCUAGUUGGUGAGGUAACGGCUCACCAAGGCGACGAUGCGUAGCCGACCUGAGAGGGGGAUCGGCCACACUGGAACUGAGACACGGCCCAGACUCCUACGGGAGGCAGCAGUAGGGAAUCUUCCGCAAUGGACGAAAGUCUGACGGAGCAACGCCGCGUGAGCGAAGAAGGCCUUCGGGUCGUAAAGCUCUGUUGUUAGGGAAGAACAAGUAACGCAGUAACUGGCGUUACCGUGACGGUACCUAACGAGAAAGCCACGGCUAACUACGUG
rnacentral:rRNA from 1 species